GACGGAGGGUGCUAGCGUUGUUCGGAAUCACUGGGCGUAAAGGGCGCGUAGGCGGCCUCAGGUGUCGGAUGUGAAAGCCCGGGGCUCAACCCCGGAGGUGCAUCCGAAACUCUGGGGCUGGAGGUCGGAAGAGGAGGGUGGAAUACCCAGUGUAGAGGUGAAAUUCGUAGAUAUUGGGUGGAACACCGGUGGCGAAAGCGGCUCUCUGGUCCGGACCUGACGCUGAGGCGCGAAAGCGUGGGGAGCAGACAGG
rnacentral:rRNA from 1 species